AAUAUCUUGAUCGGCCGCUAUCCUGUCACAAAUAAGGAGAUUGACGGAGAGAGAAGGAGAGAGGGAAAGAGAGAAGGGGGAAUCCCCAAUGUGCAGCACAACAGGAUGGAAGCGAUCAUGUCUUUCGGCUUGUAACACCAGGAGGGUCUCUGUCUCAUGAGAGAGAGAGAGGAGGGCAGAGUUCCGGACUGAGGAAAAGCAAGUCUACCAUCAACCACUUUCACAGACGCCUUAUUUACUGCUGGAGAAGAACAGCUUUACGGCACUGUUAUUCGCCAUUUGUGACUGCAAAUGGGACUCAAAGGAAAACAAAGACUUCAAAAGAGCAGGAGAUGAGAUGACAGACAUUUCUGUUAUUUAUAACAGCAACAUUGUUUUGUGGGAAAUUGAAGGGAAUGGAUUCAAUUGAGGGAAACUGUAAUGAUGUCAUCAGACUUCCAUGUAAAGCUAUAGAUCAAACAAACAAAUACCGCUACAGCAUGUGGUACAAAAUAAUCACAGAAAAAAAUCGAACAGCUAUUAUCAAAAAGAAAAGCGGUGAUAUUACACACUAUAACAAUUAUAACAACUCUGCAUCUCUGGGAGAGAAGGAGACCCUGGAGUUGCAGAGAAUAAACCUCAAUCUUUCUGGAAUAUAUUUGUGCUACCUGGCUGCAGACGUUGGGGGUCAAAAUGUAGAAUCUUUCAUUAGACUAAAUAUUUCAGAAUGUAUGUAUUUGAGCACAUCACAGCCUUCCACAGUCACUGCGGUUUACUGUCCUUCUGUAUUGGAGUUUUCUGUUCCCUGGGCUCUGCUUGGCUUCUUUCUCAUCAGCCUGACCAAGAUCAUACUUUGCAUUAUUACUGUGGGGGUGUGCAAUCGAGUCAUACUUAGAGGAAUACAAAGAAAACAGGAAGUAAGAGGAUUCGAGACAAGAAGUGGAACAAAGUCGAGCUGGAAAAAAUGAGGUUCACAAGACGCUGAUGGGGCUGUUGAUUGCCUGUUCCAUUUACUAAAAAAAAUAUUGAAACCAUGGCUGGUGUGAGAUGAAGUCGUGGGAGUCACAAGGCAUUCACGGACAUUUGCUUUUUUGGUUUUAGAUUGUUCUCUUCAUUUUAAAAUUGUAUUCAUUUUAAACUAUUUAAAUGUAUUUCUAUAGCGGUAUGCAUUUUUCAUUUUGCAAAUCAGUGUUACUGUAAAUAUGUACAGAGAGAGAAGAGUAAACUACAGAGGGUAAUUUUUUAUAAAGUUUACCAAAUAAUUACUUAAGAAAUACUAGUUUUACUAGCUGAGACAAAAUAAAGAAGGGGCUGGGUCUAUUUUGUAAGAUUGUUAUGUAAAGCACGAAAUCUUAAAUCUAAUUAGCAGUGUCCCAGUGUGAAAGCCAGUGGCAACACUGGCAAGAAACCAAAGCUCCAAUUGUUGUAAGUGGAGAACAAACUUUGGGAGACCUAACAGGGAGUGCCAGUUCACCUUUUGCACUAUAGAUUUACAAAUAGACUGCAUUUUUAAAACUAAUUUUUCAGCAUUUAUUAAUCUUCGUUAAUAUUUUAAUUGUAAUAUGAUUGUUCAUGUUAGUUCAUUUUUCAUUAAAUAAUGUUAACACGUCAAGUCAAGGCAACUUUAUUUAUAUAUCGCUUUUUACAAUUUUCAUUGUUACAAAGCAGCUGUACAAAACAUAUUGAGUAUUAGCAAAACAUGUAGCCUGUUAAUUGUCACCCGUUCCGAAUACGGGACACCUAAGUUUGCGUCAAUAUUGUGCAUGUAAUUUCUAAUCGAAUCAUGACAAACUAUGUAUCAUCUGAAAGGUCUAAGAUUUCUUUGGUGUUUUUUUAAAUAAUUUAUAUCC